rnacentral:rRNA from 1 species
UACGUAGGGGGCAAGCGUUAUCCGGAUUUAUUGGGCGUAAAGAGCUCGUAGGCGGCUGAUCGCGUCGGUUGUGAAAGCUCAGGGCUCAACCCUGAGACGCCAAUCGAUACGGAUCGGCUAGAGGUAGGUAGGGGAAAGUGGAAUUCCUGGUGUAGCGGUGAAAUGCGCAGAUAUCAGGAGGAACACCGGUGGCGAAGGCGGCUUUCUGGGCCUUACCUGACGCUGAGGAGCGAAAGCUGGGGGAGCAAACAGGAUUAGAUACCCUGGUAGUCCCAGCCGUAAACGUUGGGUGCUAGGUGUGGGGAGGUCUUCAACCCUCUCCGUGCCGCAGCUAACGCAUUAAGCACCCCGCCUGGGGAGUACGGCCGCAAGGCUAAA